UCUGUGGUGGACGGUCUUUCGACUCGCAAUCCAGUCAAAUCAGCGAGUAACUGCAGUACAAAGUCAUUCUGGGAAACACCUCCAUCUACACUAGUGACUCGUACAACAACAAAAUUCGAAAUACAAUGCUUUCCAGAACGGCUCGAGCCAUAUGUGCUUUUCCAGACGUUGGUUUGACGCCUAAAAAUCCUGUUGCUGCUGACUGAUCAUUAAUUGGUGCCUGAGACAAAGAAUGUGAUUGAGUGCCCAAGCUAAGCGCAAAGUCAUCUGAAACAAGUCAGAGGUCAUGAAUAAAUAACGCAGGGCAUUAUUCAUAGAUGUGUGUGGAUAGUAAACGUCAAGUGAUAACCCUGCAUAUUCAUCAAAGAAAGUCAUCAGCGUAUACCAAGACUCCAGUGUCGAAAACACGUGUCUGCCAUCGCCACCAGAAGAGAGUUCCCCACUGCUUUGGAGUUUAUUUUCGAAAUGAUAUUGGUAAUACGAUCAGAUAUGAAUAAUAAUCGAUCAUUCUCAUGAACGAUGGACAUUGGAGUUUAUCGAUCAGAGGAGACUUUGCAAAAUUGUAAAUCCAGAGAGAUGAAAUUGUUGAUUGGCGGCACGCAGUGGCAAUGUGAUGACACAGAGCUCGAUUCGCCCAAAAAACUGCGUCAUAUGGGAAGACUUUGAUGGCCUCACUGUAGCAUGCCAUAGCUUUGUCCCAUUUUUGCUGUUUAACGAAAAAAAUCAACUUACGGCAUCGAAGUUAUCCCACGCAGAGUAAUCGUACGACUUGAUACGCUUGCAUUUGCUGCCGUUGUCUUUACUU